rnacentral:rRNA from 1 species
GACGGAGGAUGCAAGUGUUAUCCGGAAUUACUGGGCGUAAAGCGUGCGCAGGCGGUUGUGCAAGACAGAUGUGAAAUCCCCGGGCUUAACCUGGGAAUUGCAUUUGUGACUGCACGGCUAGAGUGUGUCAGAGGGGGGUAGAAUUCCACGUGUAGCAGUGAAAUGCGUAGAUAUGUGGAGGAAUACCGAUGGCGAAGGCAGCCCCCCUGGGAUAACACUGACGCUCAUGCACGAAAGCGUGGGGAGCAAACAGG